rnacentral:rRNA from 1 species
UACGUAGGGUGCGAGCGUUGUCCGGAAUUAUUGGGCGUAAAGCGCACGUAGGCGGCUUUCUAAGUCAGGGGUGAAAUCCCGGAGCUCAACUCCGGAACUGCCUUUGAUACUGGAGAGCUUGAGUCCGGGAGAGGUGAGUGGAACUGCGAGUGUAGAGGUGAAAUUCGUAGAUAUUCGCAAGAACACCAGUGGCGAAGGCGGCUCACUGGCCCGGUACUGACGCUGAGGUGCGAAAGCGUGGGGAGCAAACAGG